GACGAACGCUGGCGGCGUGCUUAACACAUGCAAGUCGAACGAUGAAGCUAGAGCUUGCUCUGGUGAAUUAGUGGCGAACGGGUGAGUAACACGUGAGUAACCUGCCCCGAACUCUGGGAUAACUGCUGGAAACGGUAGCUAAUACUGGAUACGACCUACGAAGGCAUCUUCUGUAGGUGGAAAGAAUUUCGGUUCGGGAUGGACUCGCGGCCUAUCAGCUUGUUGGUGAGGUAAUGGCUCACCAAGGCGACGACGUGUAGCCUGCAGGAGAGGGUGACCGGCCACACUGGGACUGAGAGACGGCCCAGGCCCGUACAGGGGGCAGCAGGUGGGAAUAUUGCACAAUGGGCAGGAGUCUGAUGCAGCAGCGCCGCGAUGGGGAUGACGGCCUUCUGGUUGUAAACCUCUAUUAGCAGGGAAGAAGCGAGGGUGACGGUACCUGCAGAAAAAGCACCGGCUAACUACGUGCCAGCCGCCGCUGUAA
rnacentral:rRNA from 1 species